rnacentral:rRNA from 1 species
UACGUAGGGUCCGAGCGUUGUCCGGAAUACUGGGCGUAAAGCGUGCGCAGGCGGUUUUGUAAGUCUGUCGUGAAAUCCCCGGGCUCAACCUGGGAAUUGCGAUGGAGACUGCAAGGCUAGAAUCUGGCAGAGGGGGGUAGAAUUCCACGUGUGAGCAGUGAAAUGCGUAGAUAUCAGGAGGAACACCGAUGGCGAAGGCAGGUCUCUGGGC